GAAACGCUGGCUAAUACCGAAUAGCGUCUACGGACGAAAGCGGGGGAUCUUCGGACCUCGCACCAUAAGAUGAGCCCACGUCUGAUUAGCUAGUUGGUGAGGUAAAUGCUUACCAAGGCGACGAUCAGUAUCCGGCCUGAGAGGGUGGACGGACACACUGGGACUGAGACACGGCCCAGACUCCUACGGGAGGCAGCAGUGGGGAAUAUUGGACAAUGGGCGCAAGCCUGAUCCAGCAAUGCCGCGUGUGUGAAGAAGGCCUUCGGGUUGUAAAGCACUUUUGUUAGGGAGGAAAGUCUUGUAGCUAAUAACUGCGAGAUAUGACGUUACCUAAAGAAUCAGCACCGGCUAACUCUGUGCCAGCAGCCGCGGUAAUACAGAGGGUGCAAGCGUUAAUCGGAAUUACUGGGCGUA
rnacentral:rRNA from 1 species